CUGAAGUGGAUGCUUGUGGACGUCACUCAGUGGUCCAAGAUCCUGGAAGUCUUCAAGGUAUCCAUCUGAUACAGGAAGGAUCCUGGGUGCCCCGGAAGCAGAACAACCAUCAUGAAAGUGGACACAAGACUCCUAAAGACUUCUAACUCUCUUCCUAGAUUUACCAGAUCUUGCUGUGUAGGGUUGGAAUUGUACUUGGGUAACUAGAGGUAAGGGUGAGCCACCUCUGUGACACCAUCUUCUUUUGAGGAUUAUCCCUUGAAAGAGUCGGGGAGCUGCAAGUGGAUGUGGGAACAAUGCACGUUAGCUUCCCAAACAACUCCUGGGAAAUCAACACAAAAAAGCACAGAGAUACCUCUCCGCAAAAGAGUCCUGCCCAGAAGAGCCCAUUUCUCCACCCUUCUGUGAAAUAUGAAACAUCAUAACCAGAAGGAAAUAUGAUUCUACAUCCCGCUUACCGCCAGGCAACUGCAAGGUAAAAAGACGUUUCCAACUUUUCUUUGAGCCUAAUCUGCACAAAAUGAACUGUCCCAAACAGGAGACUUUACCACCCCUUCCGCUCU